AGAAAUUUGAUUUUGAUGUCAAUAUGACUCCUACUAGUAGAGGGCGCUACCUACAUGUGUUUGGUAAAGUCCCUAGAUAUAUAAAGUACCGCAAUUACCGCCAUAUUGGCGCCAAAACUAGCGGCAAAUUUAAAAAGGAGGCCAACAUUUCGCUGUUUCGGCUUUUUAAGCAGAUGGUCGGUCCGGCGCCAAUAUGGCCGACCAACAUUGACAGGCAAGCCGUAAAAUAAAAUAUUUAUUAAUUGUAAUAGAAUUACGUUUAUUAUCUACAGUUUACCUUCAUUUUAACGCCUAUAUAUGUUAAGAGGUUAUAAACAAAUGGUUUCCGUACAAGUGUUUUUCAUUUGUAUUAGCAUUUAUUUUAUGUUACCUUUUAGUGCAAAGUACGCCAACAGAAUACUUAAUUCAGUCGAAACAAUUGGAAAAACUUUGUUUGUUGAUGAGAACGGGAUACCUAUACCAUAAGUAAACUUUCCCUAUUAUACCAGUUAUGCUGGAGUUAGUUUUGACAAAUAAGCAUGAUUUAACGAAAGUCUUUGGAACUAUGAAUAAGCUACAAAUUUAAAUUUGAAGGGCGGCUUUUAUACGAGAAAAUUUUGAACCAUGGUUGAAACAAAUAAAUGUAAUAAUUAAAUUGAUAUGAUACAUACCUGCUAUUUUUGAAAUAUAUUAAUAUAUUGAUAGAAAGAUUGUUUCAAUUAGUAUUACUUCAGGUAGUUUCGGCAUUUUAGGUAUGUAAUUGUGCACUUAAUUUAAAAAUAACUUAGAAAGAAGCUUGAAAUGCAUAAGAGCUCUUUAUGUAUGCUGUAUAAUUAAGGUUUGUUAUGGAGUGGUUUUUAUACAACAAAUUUAUUAUUAGUUGAAUAAAAGCAAGUUAAUACCACAUAAUACAAUUAAAAUAUAUUUUACUCUGCAAUUUAAUGUUAUAUUUUUAAAACAACAAGUGUCAUAAUGUUUAAGUAUCAUUAUAAUAAAAAAGUUAUACUGCUAUAAAUUUAACAUUGAAAUAACUGUAAUUAUUGUUAUACAUAAAUUAAGUAGGAAUAAUUUUACCUCGACAAUAUGUAAAACUUCAAAUGAAUCUUAACAAUUUUAUGUCAUGUAUAAAAAUCAAAUUUAAAUCACACACUUUUAUUUAUAACUGACAGUAUAAGACCAAAUUUUUAAAUAUAACUUU